rnacentral:rRNA from 1 species
GCGUUACGACGGCAGUGAUUAGAGUUUGAUCCUGGCUCAGGACGAACGCUGGCGGCACGCCUAACACAUGCAAGUCGAACGGAGAUAUUUUGGUUUACUGAGAUAUCUUAGUGGCGGACGGGUGAGUAACACGUGAGCAACCUGCCUCUGAGAGAGGGAUAGCUUCUGGAAACGGAUGGUAAUACCUCAUGACAUAACGAAGCCGCAUGACUUUGUUAUCAAAGAUUUAUCACUCAGAGAUGGGCUCGCGUCUGAUUAGAUAGUUGGUGAGGUAACGGCUCACCAAGUCGACGAUCAGUAGCCGGACUGAGAGGUUGAACGGCCACAUUGGGACUGAGACACGGCCCAGACUCCUACGGGAGGCAGCAGUGGGGAAUAUUGCACAAUGGGGGAAACUCUGAUGCAGCGAUGCCGCGUGGAGGAAGAAGGUUUUCGGAUUGUAAACUCCUGUCUUAAAGGACGAUAAUGACGGUACUUUAGGAGGAAGCUCCGGCUAACUACGUGCCAGCAGCCGCGGUAAUACGUAGGGAGCGAGCGUUGUCCGGAAUUACUGGGUGUAAAGGGAGCGUAGGCGGGAUGGCAAGUCAGAUGUGAAAACUAUGGGCUCAACCCAUAGACUGCAUUUGAAACUGUUGUUCUUGAGUGAAGUAGAGGUAAGCGGAAUUCCUGGUGUAGCGGUGAAAUGCGUAGAUAUCAGGAGGAACAUCGGUGGCGAAGGCGGCUUACUGGGCUUUUACUGACGCUGAGGCUCGAAAGCGUGGGGGAGCAAACAGGAUUAGAUACCCUGGUAGUCCACGCUGUAAACGAUGAUUACUAGGUGUGGGGGGACUGACCCCUUCCGUGCCGCAGUUAACACAAUAAGUAAUCCACCUGGGGAGUACGGCCGCAAGGUUGAAACUCAAAGGAAUUGACGGGGGCCCGCACAAGCAGUGGAGUAUGUGGUUUAAUUCGAAGCAACGCGAAGAACCUUACCAGGUCUUGACAUCGUAUGCAUAGUCUAGAGAUAGAUGAAACCUCUUCGAGGCAUAUAGACAGUGGUGCAUGGUUGUCGUCAGCUCGUGUCGUGAGAUGUUGGGUUAAGUCCCGCAACGAGCGCACUCUUACCUUUAGUGCUACGCAAGAGCACUCUAAGGGACUGGCGGUGACAAACGAGAAGCGAUGACGUCAAAUCAAUCAUGCCUAGACUGGCUACACACGUACUACAAUGCAUUACAGAGCGACGGUACGUGAGGAUUCCAAAUGUCCAGUUCAAUAGAGAGAAAUCUUGUUAAAUCA